GAAAGAUGCCGGGCAAUCGCUCUCUGUGCUUCGCACAGAACCCAUAACUAUAACAUUUGCGUAUUUUUUUAUCAGUUAUUUGUUAUUGGUUACGCGCGGAGCGCGGGGAGAGGAAAGUCCGGACUCCCGAUUUGGCGCAAGCCAGGUCAACGUAGCGGCUAACAGCCGUCCAGGGCGACUUGAGAGGUGCGAACAGAGACGCCGAGUGCCGAAAGGCAUGAGGCGCCGAGCAUAUAACUUAUUAUGCGCUCGGCGAGUCUCGAUGGCAACAUCGGGGUAUGAAACGGCUAAAUCCUUACGGGGUGCAAGACAGAUUAUUUUUGCGGUAUUCGCGGAAAUAGGUAGUCGCACGAGCACGGCAGUAAUGCCGUGCCAAGAGAAAUGAUUGCCGCCGAGCAUAUAACUUGUUAUGUGCUUGGUACAGAAUCCGGCUUAUAGGCAUCUUUCCGGU
rnacentral:RNase_P_RNA from 4 species